rfam:Heligmosomoides polygyrus genome assembly, scaffold: HPBE_scaffold0000129
CUGGGAUAUGGUGACAUGGUACCGUCGACGGUAAUGGGUAAGAUCGUCGGUGGUAUCUGCUCACUGUCCGGUGUGUUGGUGAUCGCCCUACCAGUUCCCGUGAGUUAUUGAAC